GAAAUUUCAUUCGCACUAGUGAUAGCUAGUUUCCCAGGAAAGACAUAAAAGUGUCGUUGAAAUGAAUAAUUUAUAAUAUUAGUUAUUAUAUAUGUAUAUAUAUUUCACUGAUUUUUUUGAGGAUAAGCUCAAGAAAAAGUUAAGAUUUAUUUUUGAUUAAAUUUACUGUGUAGGUUUAAAAUUAACCACCAUAAAAGUUUUUUAUAAAAUAGUAAUACUAGUUCUGUAAAUAAAUAUAAUUUAAACUAACUUUUAUACUGGGACAAAAACUUUAAUUGAAAUAAGUUUUAUGCCUAUGCUAGAAUUAGUAUUAAAACUUAACUAUAAGAGAAAUUAUGUUUAUAUUUUCUUCAAAGGAAAAAAUUAAAAAAAUUAAUUAAUUAGAAGGAACUCGGCAAAUUUUGUUCCGCCUGUUUAUCAAAAACAUGGCUCUUUGGUUACAUAAAUAUAAAGAGUCGAGCCUGCCC
rnacentral:rRNA from 1 species